UAAGCCUGUGAAGGUGUGUCGUGAGGCAUGCUGGAGGUAUCAGAAGUGCGAAUGCUGACAUAAGUAACGAUAAAGCGGGUGAAAAGCCCGCUCGCCGGAAGACCAAGGGUUCCUGUCCAACGUUAAUCGGGGCAGGGUGAGUCGACCCCUAAGGCGAGGCCGAAAGGCGUAGUCGAUGGGAAACGGGUUAAUAUUCCCGUACUUGGUGUUACUGCGAAGGGGGGACGGAGAAGGCUAUGUUGGCCGGGCGACGGUUGUCCCGGUUUAAGCGUGUAGGUGUGUGUUCCAGGUAAAUCCGGUUCACUUUAACACUGAGGCGUGACGACGAGGCACUACGGUGCUGAAGCAACAAAUGCCCUGCUUCCAGGAAAAGCCUCUAAGCAUCAGGUAACAUCAAAUCGUACCCCAAACCGACACAGGUGGUCAGGUAGAGAAUACCAAGGCGCUUGAGAGAACUCGGGUGAAGGAACUAGGCAAAAUGGUGCCGUAACUUCGGGAGAAGGCACGCUGACACGUAGGUGAAGUGAUUUACUCAUGGAGCUGAAGUCAGUCGAAGAUACCAGCUGGCUGCAACUGUUUAUUAAAAACACAGCACUGUGCAAACACGAAAGUGGACGUAUACGGUGUGACGCCUGCCCGGUGCCGGAAGGUUAAUUGAUGGGGUCAGCGCAAGCGAAGCUCCUGAUCGAAGCCCCGGUAAACGGCGGCCGUAACUAUAACGGUCCUAAGGUAGCGAAAUUCCUUGUCGGGUAAGUUCCGACCUGCACGAAUGGCGUAAUGAUGGCCAGGCUGUCUCCACCCGAGACUCAGUGAAAUUGAACUCGCUGUGAAGAUGCAGUGUACCCGCGGCAAGACGGAAAGACCCCGUGAACCUUUACUAUAGCUUGACACUGAACAUUGAGCCUUGAUGUGUAGGAUAGGUGGGAGGCUUUGAAGUGUGGACGCCAGUCUGCAUGGAGCCGACCUUGAAAUACCACCCUUUAAUGUUUGAUGUUCUAACGUGGACCCGUGAUCCGGGUUGCGGACAGUGUCUGGUGGGUAGUUUGACUGGGGCGGUCUCCUCCUAAAGAGUAACGGAGGAGCACGAAGGUUGGCUAAUCCUGGUCGGACAUCAGGAGGUUAGUGCAAUGGCAUAAGCCAGCUUGACUGCGAGCGUGACGGCGCGAGCAGGUGCGAAAGCAGGUCAUAGUGAUCCGGUGGUUCUGAAUGGAAGGGCCAUCGCUCAACGGAUAAAAGGUACUCCGGGGAUAACAGGCUGAUACCGCCCAAGAGUUCAUAUCGACGGCGGUGUUUGGCACCUCGAUGUCGGCUCAUCACAUCCUGGGGCUGAAGUAGGUCCCAAGGGUAUGGCUGUUCGCCAUUUAAAGUGGUACGCGAGCUGGGUUUAGAACGUCGUGAGACAGUUCGGUCCCUAUCUGCCGUGGGCGCUGGAGAACUGAGGGGGGCUGCUCCUAGUACGAGAGGACCGGAGUGGACGCAUCACUGGUGUUCGGGUUGUCAUGCCAAUGGCACUGCCCGGUAGCUAAAUGCGGAAGAGAUAAGUGCUGAAAGCAUCUAAGCACGAAACUUGCCCCGAGAUGAGUUCUCCCUGAGACUUAAAGUCUCCUGAAGGAACGUUGAAGACGAC
rnacentral:rRNA from 1 species